CCUACGGGUGGCAGCAGUGAGGAAUAUUGGUCAAUGGACGAGAGUCUGAACCAGCCAAGUAGCGUGAAGGAUGACUGCCCUAUGGGUUGUAAACUUCUUUUAUAUAGGAAUAAAACGAGGCACGUGUGCCUUUUUGUAUGUACUUUAUGAAUAAGGAUCGGCUAACUCCGUGCCAGCAGCCGCGGUAAUACGGAGGAUCCGAGCGUUAUCCGGAUUUAUUGGGUUUAAAGGGAGCGUAGAUGGAUUGUUAAGUCAGUUGUGAAAGUUUGCGGCUCAACCGUAAAAUUGCAGUUGAUACUGGCAGUCUUGAGUACAGUUGAGGUAGGCGGAAUUCGUGGUGUAGCGGUGAAAUGCUUAGAUAUCACGAAGAACCCCGAUUGCGAAGGCAGCUUACUAAACUGUGACUGACAUUGAUGCUCGAAAGUGUGGGUAUCAAACAGGAUUAGAUACCCUGGUAGUC
rnacentral:rRNA from 1 species